CCCUGAAGUUAUGACUGAUGUUACUUCCUAACAAUAAUUGAUUGGUGUUUAAUGUAAUGGCACUUUCAACACUAUGUUUUUCGGGACGGUCAUUUUUUAUUGGUGGUGGGUCUAGAGUACCUGGGGAGAUCCACAGACUUUCACCCACAUUGCAACAGGGGAUAGGAUAUUACUUUUAACUUAAGAAUCUAAGUUUUAGAUCUUGCUUUGAACCACCAUGUUAAAACAAUUCCUGGAGACUUUUUUUGGAAGAC
rnacentral:lncRNA from 1 species